GACGAACGCUGGCGGCGUGCCUAAUACAUGCAAGUAGAACGCACAGUUUAUACCGUAGCUUGCUACACCAUAGACUGUGAGUUGCGAACGGGUGAGUAACGCGUAGGUAACCUGCCUGGUAGCGGGGGAUAACUAUUGGAAACGAUAGCUAAUACCGCAUAAUAUUAAUUAUUGCAUGAUAAUUAAUUGAAAGGUGCAAUUGCACCACUACCAGAUGGACCUGCGUUGUAUUAGCUAGUAGGUGAGGUAACGGCUCACCUAGGCGACGAUACAUAGCCGACCUGAGAGGGUGAUCGGCCACCCUGGGACUGAGACACGGCCCAGACUCCUACGGGAGGCAGCAGUAGGGAAUCUUCGGCAAUGGACGAAAGUCUGACCGAGCAACGCCGCGUGAGUGAAGAAGGUUUUCGGAUCGUAAAGCUCUGUUGUAAGAGAAGAACGGGUGUGAGAGUGGAAAGUUCACACUGUGACGGUAUCUUACCAGAAAGAGACGGCUAACUACGUG
rnacentral:rRNA from 1 species